rnacentral:rRNA from 1 species
GACGAACGCUGGCGGUGUGCUUAACACAUGCAAGUCGAACGGUAGGGCCCUUUCGGGGGUACACGAGUGGCGAACGGGUGAGUAACACGUGAGUAACCUGCCCUCAUCUCUGGGAUAACAGUCGGAAACGGUUGCUAAUACUGGAUAUGAGCUUGCAAGGCAUCUUGUGGGUUGGAAAGAUUUUUUUGGUUGGGGAUGGACUCGCGGCCUAUCAGCUUGUUGGUGAGGUAGUGGCUCACCAAGGCUUCGACGGGUAGCCGGCCUGAGAGGGCGACCGGCCACAUUGGGACUGAGAUACGGCCCAAACUCCUACGGGAGGCAGCAGUGGGGAAUAUUGCACAAUGGACGGAAGUCUGAUGCAGCAACGCCGCGUGCGGGAUGACGGCCUUCGGGUUGUAAACCGCUUUCAAUUGUGACGAAGCUUUUUGUGACGGUAGCAGUAGAAGAAGCACCGGCUAACUACGUG